GGCGGCUGGCGCCCUGCGCUCGUCGGUGCCGCCUCCGGGCGCGCAGUCCCGGCCUCUCCUCGCAGCACAGAUGUCAGUUAGUGAGAUAGCGGGAGCGGGGGCCGGAGGGUUUGCGGGCUUCCGUCUCGAAGGAAGUCUGGGAGGCUCAGAAUCGCCAGCGUUGUCACCUUAGAGCCAGCCUCGCGGGGCGCCCCCCGUCCCCGUCACUGCUGCCCACGGCCUCGGCAGGAAGGAAUACAAUUUUUUUCAUCUAUAAUUUGGAAGCUAAGUAAAUAACAAAAUGAAGCCAGUAAAGCAUCAGUUGGCAGUUAGUGAUAAAGUGGUAAAUGUUCCAGAAUUAACUAAUAAAAAAGGACGACCUAGUUCACCUUGGUCAUCUAAAUCAAAGCAAAAACGUAAGGCAAAAUUAGUACGUGAUAAACUUGAACCGAUGGUCUUAAGAUCUCCACCAACAGGAGAAUCCAUUUUAAGAUAUGCUUUGCCUAUACCAUCAAGUAAGACAGAUGACUUCAUGUCAGAAGAGGAAUUGAUCAGGAAAAUUACCGAACAUCUGAAGAUGGUUGUUUCUACUUUGGAAGAAGCCUAUGGGUAUAGUAUUCAAAAUGGAGAAACACCAAUUGUGAAGCCUGAACAGGAAGGAUCAACUUUAUCUGUUGGGGAUGAUCUGAGUUCAUUCUUGAUAUGUUGUUCACAAUUUGCAGCUCAGUUAGAAGAAGCAGUUAAGGAAGAACGUAAUAUUUUGGAAUCUCUUUUUAAGUGGUUUCAGCGACAGGUCAAUCAGAUGGAAGAGAUAAGUAAAGAUCAAACUAUUUCAGAAGCAGAGUUGCCAGCAUCUGGCACAACAGUCACUUUAAGCAUUGCACAACUAGUAAGCCAGGUGCAAAAACUUGAAGAACUGAAAAAUCGCCUUAAACAGCAGUCUAAAUACUCCUUAAAAACCAUGUUGUCUAAACCCACAGAUAGUGAAAAGCCAUCAGAUGCAGUACAACGUCACGAACAUGUAAAGCAGAAAAUUGAAGAAUUCAUAAAAACCCACUCAAGUGAAGAAGUUGUAGAUGUUUCUGCAAGUGAGCCACAAACUUCUUAUUCACUGCCUAAUCGAUUGAAUGCCAUGUUGAAAAUAUUUGAAAAACAGUCAAAUAUGUUGACGAGAGCUAUGAAUGAUCAAAGUUUGUUAGAGGCUAAAUAUAAACAGAUGCAAAGUGAUUUCCAAGUGUUAUCAGAAGAGAAAUUGUUGCUGGAAAAUGAACUACAAAAGUUGAAGGAUACGGAGAAAACAAAGCCUACACAUGAUCGAAUAAAGAAAACUGGUAAAAUGGAGAAGAAAAAAGACAGAGGAAAACCUGAGAAUUCAGAAGAGGACAAGCCUGUAGUUCAAGAGCUUAAAACAAAAGAAGAGUUGCUUCAAGUUCAGAAAGUAGCACAUGCUCUGGAAAGUGAGAACAAAAUCCUUCAGGAAAAACUGAAACAAGCUUUACAGGAAGCUGAAAGAGCUAAGCAUCAAGUGGACUAUUUCCUAAAUCAAGGGAAGAAGUUAGUUACAAGUGAGGGGAAGACCAAGACAACAAUGGAAAUGGAUAAUAGUAAAAUAAAAGUUAAAGGUGAAAAUUCAUUGGAGAAAGAAACAGGAAAAGCACUGGUUGCAGAUGCAAAUAGACAAAGGACAAGUGAUAAAAUCCAAGAACAUCAACAGAUCUCAGUUGUCCAAAAUGGAAGUCCUACUGAAAAAAGCUCAGAGAAGAAAAGGGCUAGCCCUGCUAUUUCAGAUCUUUCACAGAUCCUCAAAUCUCAAGAUGGAUCAGCUUUUUCAAAGAAUGCCAAUGAAGUUUUUGCUGAUGAAGACCCAUCCCAUAUACUUUCAUCAAAGACCCAUGAUAAAUCAUUUGCAAGAGUAUUAUCAAGCAGCGAAACUCAAGAUUCACUGCCUUCCAGAACAUCAAUCAAAGAAAUUCAAAAUUCACCUUCUGCCAGAACAUUGCUUCAAGGGAGUGAAACAGUGACAGCACCGUUUAUUUCACCCACUGUUGUUAUUAAAAGAAAGCCAAUGGGUAGUGAUAUCUCAAAGGCUGAUGUUUUAGAAGAGAAAUUACAAAGUAAUAUUGAAAAGCAAACUUCCCAAGAAGCAACAGAAUUUCAAGCUCAUGAUGGAGAAUCAACUGAAAAUCUUAUUCUUGAGAAUGAAGCAGUGUCAAAUACCGACAUGCAAAUGUUGAAAGCAGCUGCUAGAAUGAAGAGACGCAAUGCAUUUCUUAUAAUACAGGAAAAGGAUAGUAUAGCUGUUGAAGAUCAAUUACCUGAAGACAUAGCUUUAGUUUUAAGAAGCCAAUUUCAAGCUAAGAAUUUUGAAGCUACCGGAAAUGAAAGUUCUGAUACCCAUGAUGAAGUACCAGAUGAAAAGCUUAUGCUUGCACAUCAAGAUUCAGUUUCAAAAACCCAAAUGCAAAUAAAGAAACAAGGAACUCCCACAGAGGAAAGAUUCAAUACUGAUGGUAAAGUACCAGAUGAAAAGCUUAUGCAGGAGAAUCAAAAUUUGGUGCCAAAAACACAACUGCAAGUACAGAAACAAAGAACUCUCAGAAGAGAAGAACUCACUACUCAGGAUGAAGUGCCAGAUGAAAAUCGUAUGCUUGAGCACCAGGACUCAAUGUCAGAAUCAGAAAUUCAAAUGAAGAAACAAAGAACUCACAAAAUGGAAAGUCUUACUACUCAUAAUGACAUACCAGACAGAAAUCUUAUGCUUGAGCAUCAAGAUUCAGUGUCAAAACUCCAAAUGCAAGUAAAGAAACAAAUGACUUCCACAGGGGAAGAACACAACACUCUUGAUGAAGUAUCAGAUGAGACUCUUAUGCCCAAACAUCAAGAUUCAGUGUCAACCCAAGUUCAAUUAAAGAAACAAAAAACUUCCAUAGGGGAACUACUCAAUACUCAUUUUGGAGUACCAGACGAAAACCUUAUGAUUGAGCCUCAAGAUUCAGUGUCAAAACUCCAAAAGCCAGUAGAGAAACAAAUAACUUCCAGAAGGGGAAGGCGCCACACUUAUAUGGGAGAACAAGAUGAAAAUCUUAUAUUUUUGAAGCAAGAUUCAGUGUCAAAUCUCCAAAUGCAAGUAAAGAAACAAAUAAUUUCCAGAGGAGAAAGACGCAAUACAUUUCCUCCUGAAAACCAAAAAAAUAAUAUGAUAUCAGUUGAAAAUCUGUUUCCUGAGGAGGAAGUUUUAUUUUCAAGAAACCAAUCUCAAACUAAGAAAUUUGGAGCUACCAGAGAGAAGAAUCUCCAUGUGGAAGAGGUAUUAGAUGAAAAUCUUUUACCGGAGGAUAAAGUAGCAUUGUCAAAAAGCCAAUCUCAAACUAAGAAGCUUGGAGCUGUCAAAAUGGAAACACUAAGUAAUCAGGACGUAGAUGAACUCUCAGGUGGGAAUUUUGCACUUAAAGAUCUAGAACUGGCUACAGGAUAUAAGGAUCAAAUUCAAACAAAUGGGGUUUCCCAAUCUCAAAGAUUAAGAGUUAAAAAUGAAGUGGCUUCAGAACUUCCAGAUACUGCAGAAAAUCUUCCAGCAAUAAAUCCAUCAACUAGUGACCUAAUAUUGCAAUUAGAUUUAAACAAAGUUUUAGAGACUGAUGUAGAAUACUUGAAAGAUGUUAUUGGAAGACGGAUGUUAAUGGGGGAAAUGCAGAUGCAAGCAAAGAGUCUCCCUGAGACUGAUACAAAACACUUCCCAGAUGUCACUGGAAGAGGUACAAUAAAGGAAGAAAUCAAGACACAAUCAAAGAGUCGUUCUGGGAAUAACAUGGAACACUCAAAAGAUACAAUUCGGAGAGGUAUAACAAAGGGAGAACUCAAGACACAACCAACAAAUCUCCCUGAGACUGAUACAAAAUGGUUCUCAGAUAUUAUUGGAAGAGGUAUAAUAAAAGGAGAAAUCAAGACACAAUCAAAGAGUCAUCUUGAGACUGAUAGAGAACGCUUGACAGAUACUGUUGGAAGAGAAAAACUAAUUGGUGAAAUGACACAACUUAAGGGUCGCCCUGAUAUGAAUUUACUUAAAACAAGAUACUUGUCCACAGAAGAUCAAGAUGUUUUUACCAAGUACAUUGGACAAAGUAAAUUCUCAACAAAUGCAGUUAAUUUUUCACCCUUAGACAAUCAAGGUAUUAAUUUAUUUAAAAACAAAAAUAUACUCUCACCUCAACAAGAAGAUUUCUCUACCAGGCACAUCACAGCAAAUAAAUUCCCAACAAACGUGAUCAAUUUGUCACCCUUUGCCCAAAAAGAGGAAACUUCUAAGUCCUUUGCACCCUACAUGAGCGAACUUCCAAAAGCAGUUCAUAGAAGAUCUAGGGCUGAGUCAAGAAUUUAUAAAGCCAUCCCGCUUCCUUCGCCGGAAACUUCAGGGCAUCCAAAAGAUUCAAUCUUAAACAAAAUAAAUGUUAAACAUACAAAUGCUCUGCCUGCUGUGACCUCUAUAGCUAGAAAAUCUAUCUAUAAAGCUUGAAGAACUCCCUUUAGCAUUUCUUGUAAGCUUUUCUUUAAAGUGUCAUAUACUGCUGCCCGAAAAUCUUCUCCCCACCCAUACUUUUGAAAAUGAAUGAAUUCUGGACAACGUAAACAACAUGAGCAAAUUCGUGGAGACAGCAAUGAAAAUUGCAAGUGUGUAAGGCUUAUGAAAAUAACACUGACAUGAGUAGAUGGUGCUCAUUGAACAACAGUGGGAAGUAACCUGGAUACACAGGGUGGGCCCAGAUCAUGGAGGGCCUUAAACAGCAGCACAACUCUUCUUUACUAUCUGGAACAAAUUUGAAACUCUAAGAUCAAAGCCUCUUUGGUGCCGAUAUUAAGAAAGGAGCUCUAUAUUGAAGUUCCAGCUUGCUUCUGUCCAGUAAUGUCCCUGUAAUGCCUUCUGCUGUGGUGUGAAAGCGAUUAAAAGAAACUUGUGCUCUGCAUGUUUUGACAAUGUCAUGAUUAUUUAAGUGUCAUAGUGUUUGCAAAUCUAUUCUAUAGGAUACUAUAGAGAAAAGUCAGCUUCAUACAUUUCUUACACGUCCAGGUAAAGGAACUGAAUUUAGAAAAGAAAAUAUCUUGCUUUAGGCUUUUUCUAUUAAAACUGGAAAUUCAUUGAAAAGAUCAAAACAAAGUUUUUAUUAUUUGUAUAAUAUUUAUUAAACCCAGUGAGACUACAAAUCAUACUACUAGCUCUAGCUGAACUGUGAAAGAUACUCAUAAACUCAAAGAACUUAUUGUGUGUUGGAAUGUUAUUAAUGAAUAUCAAGUUUAAUUGACACUAGUGUUAAAAGCGACAUUGGAAAGAGUAAGAGGAAAAAAAAGAAUAAGAGAAAAAGCUUCUAAAUAUUGAAUGAGUUAGUAAUCCAGUAUCUUUAUGUUGUCAUUCU